CCUUUUCUGAAUCGAUUGCACUGGUCUGGCACUUCCAGUCCAGACGUGACUAGUUCAUCCCCGAACUUACCUUUUUCUGUUGGUUUGAACCGUUAGUGACCUUUGUCGUCUAACUUCGGCGAAGGAACAUUGACUCUAGCUAAGCCUGUCCUCUAGUGCCCUCCCUGCCUCCUAUCUCUGCUGACCCAAGGAUAAGCUCAUCAGACGACAAUGGCUCCACUAGAGACAGAUGGUUUCAGCAAAUUUCAGCAGUUCCUCCAGGAAGUCUUGAUGUCACAGUCCCAACCCAAUUAACAAACAUUCAACCAAUCCCUGGAGAUUCUCUGCAUCCUUGCAAUUCUGUCCGGUCACUGCAAUGUCUUCUGUAAAUUUGACACCCACCUUCGCCCCCAGCUCUUCAUGACAGCUGAAGAGAGACAGAAAAUACGGGUGGAAAGUGUGGGGAAAUACAUGCACCAAACAGCACUAAGACCAGGAACUGAUCCCCUGACCAAUGGGUGAGGACUAUAGUUUCUGUAUAUGGAUACCUGCUCUACCCAUUGAGGUAAACUAGUGC